rnacentral:rRNA from 1 species
CCCUUAGACGUUCUGGGCCGCACGCGCGCUACACUGACCAGUGCAACAAGCAUCCGUCCUUGGCCGACAGGCUCGGGCAAUCUUUGAACGCUGGUCGUGAUGGGGAUAGACUUUUGCAAUUUUUGGUCUUCAACGAGGAAUUCCUAGUAAACGCAAGUCAUCAACUUGCAUUGAUUACGUCCCUGCCCUUUGUACCCACCGCCCGUCGCACCUACCGAUUGAAUGGUCCGGUGAAGCCUCCGGAUUGGCGCGCACCUCGGUGCCGCCGAGAAGUUGGCUAAACCUUACCAUUUAGAGGAAGGUGAAGUCGUAACA